UGGAAGUAAAGUCGUACAAGGUUUCCGUAGUGAACCUGCGAAGAUCAUUAAAAAUUCUGCAUGUUGGUGGAAACAAUAAUCAUCCUACCCUUUGUGUAUUGUUGUUUGUAAUAAUUUUUAAAAGAAAAAUUAUUUACUGUCUAUCCUGAUAGUAAAGUUGGAAGGAGUAAUCUAGAAAACUUUUGCUUUCAGGAAUAGUAUGUAAUAAUUUUUCAUUUAAGACCUUUUUUUAAAUUAAACUUUGUAUUCAUUUGUCUAAAAUUUAUUUUUAAUAAUUUAAAAACAAUUUUGACAAUGGAUCUCCUGGUUCUCGCAACGAUGAAGAACGCAGCAAAAUGCGAUAAGUAGUGUGAAUUGCAGAAUACGUGAAUCAUCAAUCUUCGACGCAUAUUGCACUUUUUAGUUUACUAAAAAGUAUGUCUGUUUGAGUAUCAGUAAAAUAUUCUCAAUAAACUUUUGUUUAUUGGUUAUGAGUGUUUUACAACGAUACAAGUUGUUCACUUAAAUUGACUUUAUAUAACUAUCAUUUAGGUCAAUUUUAAAUUGAUAAAUUUUCCUGUAAAAAGGGAAUAACUUGACAGUUUUAAAGAAAGAUCUAAAAGGUUUUCUUAAAAGGAAAUUUAUAAUAAACAACUGAUCUCAAAUCAAUAAGAGUACCGUGAACUUAAGCAUAUCAAUAAGCGGAGGAAAAGAAACUAACAAGGAUCCCCUAGUAACGGCGAGUGAAGCGGGAAGAGCUCAAAUUGAAUCUUCAAGGUUUCCUGACGAAUGUAGUUUAUAGAAGUGUUUCUGUUAAGAGGUGGUAAAGUUCUUUGGAAUAGGACAUCAUAGAGGUGAGAAUCCGUAUUGAUCACUUUCUACUAACGUUGUGAUGCACUUUCAACGAGUCGGAUUGUUCGGGAAUGCAGUCCAAAAUGGUGGUAAAUUUCAUCUAAAGCUAAAUAUUGGCGAGAGACCGAUAGCGAACAAGUACGUAGGGAAAGAUGAAAGAACUUUGAAAAGAGAGUUAAACAGUACGUGAAAUUGUCAAAAGGAGCGUUGACACAGUGUUGUUUUUCCGAAAAUCAAUUACGAUGCGGGAUCUAAUUUCAUGACCUUAAAGCUGUUUCUUUCUUUCCUGUCUUUCUUAAUGCACUUUUCGGUUAACAAGUCACAUCAAUUCUUUGUUGUAAAAGGUUAAGAGAAGUGGCUUUACUUUCGGUAAAGUGUUAUAGCCUUUUAACUCUGCAAUCGGAGAGAUUGAGGUCUGCAGCGUAGAUCCUCGGGGCUAGAUACGUUGUGCUAAGUUAUAGUUUUCAUAGACAACUUGUUGACUAUGUUUAGUCUUGUAGCUUACUCGCAGAUGCUAUUUACUACGCUUAGAUGUUGU
rnacentral:misc_RNA from 1 species